UUUCUACUUACACACAUUUUUCAUUGUUUUAAAGGGUAAAUAAUGCUUUUCUGGACCGACUCCAAGGCAAAAGUCAACCAGGUGGCCUCGGGCAGUCCGGAGGCUAUUGGAAUACGAAUUGCGGCAACAGCUGGGAUAUAUGAGAAAUACUUAUUUCCAUCUGGCUCUCGUCAACUGACCUUGAAAAACCCCCACUACUUCUUCAUGUAGUUUUGCUCAGCCUCACUAUUUUUUACCUUAACUUCAACUGCCGAUGUACUCAACAGAGUGGUUAGGGAUGGCCGAUUUCUCCAGUCAUUAGUUAUGCAUGUUUGCAGGAGCUGAUUACUGAACUCAUAUUUUAUCUCUACUGCCAGCAAAAUGUUACUUUAUUUUUCUAAUUGGUUUUGCCUCUUAUUAGAAGAAUAAUUAGAGCAAUGUUAGUAAGACAGAAAAAGAGGGAAUCACUUUUUUCAUGUUAGCAAGAGCUAUGGGUGCUUCAGGCUUGUGUCUCUGUAACUAAUUCUUAACUAAAUUACAGGUUUGGGGAAGCUUUGGGGUCUUUUAAGAUCUUAAUCAAUUCAGUUUCUUAAUCUAGAAUACCAAUAUGAACGAAGGAAACAAUUUUUUUGUAUUCUUUUAACAAAUUUAUAAAUAAAGCUCUAUUUCUAUAUCAAUAGAUUGUUUUUAUUUUUAAUGACAAGCUCUUGGCUUUUUCUCUUUUGAGAGGGUAUCAUCUUAUUCCUUUUUAGAGUUCAUAAGAUCAAAUAUAUUAAUA
rnacentral:lncRNA from 1 species